rnacentral:lncRNA from 1 species
GAAGGAUGUGAGAGUUCCCACGGUCUUCAAGAGCUUCUCUUCAUGUUUUCAGUUUGUCGAACUCCUCGGAGUGGUGAAGGAAAUGCACUGGGUCAUCCAAGAACUGAAAAAGAAGCCGUUUGACUUCUCCACGUCAGAUCCUUCGGGAAACGAGAAGCAGAAAUCCUUAGACACUAGCGAGCUUCUUGAGCGGACGGAGGAGAGUCAGACUCUGUUGGGGGCUUCUGACGAAGAGGCGAGCGUGCCCAGCUGCGACUGUCCAGAGACCCUGAGCGAGAUUGGUGGACAAGCGUCUACAUGUUUCCUUUCCACCAUCCAAAGAGCAAGGCAUUUUCAUCCUCCCUUUCCAUCAGAUCAUUCCUUUGGAUCAACCCUACAAGAUUCUGAACCCACCGGAGCUUGA